UCGGGUCCUUUGAUGGUUCGUCGUGGCAGGUGACAAAUGGCUGUGCCUUAGAAAGCCGCAAUGGAUCAUCUGUCUUUGACUUUGUGUUCGACCAUGAGGCAUCGAACUUGGAGCUUUUCAAUUGCAUGGCAAAGCCUAUUGUGCACAAAUUGAUAUCUGGACUGAAUGGCACAAUAAUUACAUACGGUGGGACAUCGACAGGCAAAACCCAUACAAUGCUGGGCGAUGACCAAAACCCGGGGGUAAUAGAGCUGGCAACAAAGGAAAUAUUUGAAACGAUUGGCAAUGAUAAGGAACGCAGCUUUCUGCUGCGUCUUCAGUUCAUUGAAGUAAAUAAUAAAAUCAUAACCGAUCUGAUUAGAAAGAGGCAG